rnacentral:rRNA from 1 species
CUUGGUGGCCGCAGAGAAAUCGCCCAGGCGUCUGUUUAACAAAAACACAGCACUAUGCAAACACGUUAAGUGGAAGUAUAUGGUGUGAUGCCUGCCCAAUGCCAAAAGGUCAAGAGGAGAUGUUAGCACAUCGGUGCGAAGCAUUGAAUUUAAGCCCUGGUGAAUGGCGGCCGUAACUAUAACGGUCCUAAGGUAGCGAAAUUCCUUGUCGGGUAAGUUCCGACCUGCACGAAUGGCGUAACGAUCUGGGCGCUGUCUCAACCAGAGACUCGGUGAAAUUGUAGUAGCGGUGAAGAUGCCGUUUACCUGCAGCUAGACGGAAAGACCCCGUGAACCUUUACUGUAGUCUGAUAUUGGCUUUUGACUUGGCAUGUGUAGGAUAACCGGGAGAUAUCGAAAGAGGUUCGUCAGGAUCUCUGGAAUCAUCCUUGAAAUACCGGUUUUGUCAAGUCGAAAAUCUAACGAAAUCCCGUGAAUCCGGGAUUCGGACAUUGUCAGAUGGGCAGUUUGACUGGGGCGGUUUCCUCCUAAAGAGUAACGGAGGAGUCCAAAGCUUGUCUCAUCGUGGUUGGUAAUCACGAGUAGAGCGUAAAGGUAUAAGACAAGUUAACUGCGAGACCAACGAGUCGAGCAGAUACGAAAGUAGGGCUUAGUGAUCCGGCGGUAGAAUGUGGAAUUGCCGUCGCUUAACGGAUAAAAGGUACUCCGGGGAUAACAGGCUUAUCGCUACUAAGAGUUCAUAUCGACGUAGCGGUUUGGCACCUCGAUGUCGGCUCAUCGCAUCCUGGGGCUGUAGAAGGUCCCAAGGGUUUGGCUGUUCGCCAAUUAAAGCGGUACGCGAGCUGGGUUCAGAACGUCGUGAGACAGUUCGGUCCCUAUCUGCUGUAGGCGUAGGAUACUUGAGAAGAGCUGCUUCUAGUACGAGAGGACCGAAGUGGACAAACCAAUGGUGUUCCGGUUGUUCUGCCAAGAGCAUUGCCGGGUAGCUACGUUUGGAAAGGAUAAGCGUUGAAAGCAUCUAAACGCUAAGCCUCCUUCAAGAUAAGGUAUCCCUAUGAGACUCCCGGAAGACUACCGGGUUGAUAGGCUGGGUGUGUAAGCACAGCAAUGUGUUGAGCUAACCAGUACUAAUUAGUCCAACGGCUUGAUCUU